CAAUAGCGUAUAUUAAAGUUGUUGCAGUUAAAAAGCUCGUAGUUGGAUUUCUGGUGGGAGCGAUCGGUCUGGCGCUUAGCGCGAGUACUUGCAUCGUCUCCGGCCAUCCUUGGGGAAAGUCUGUCUGGCAUUAAGUUGUCGGGCAGAGGAUCCUCAUCGUUUACUGUGAAAAAAUUAGAGUGUUCAAAGCAGGCUUAUGCCGUUGAAUAUAUUAGCAUGGAAUAAUAAGAUAGGACUUUGGUACUAUUUUGUUGGUUUGCGCACCAAAGUAAUGAUUAAUAGGGACAGUUGGAGGUAUUCGUAUUCCGUUGUCAGAGGUGAAAUUCUUGGAUUUACGGAAGACGAACUACUGCGAAAGCAUUUACCAAGGAUGUUUUCAUUAA
rnacentral:rRNA from 1 species